AGUGAACGCUGGCGGUAGGCCUAACACAUGCAAGUCGAACGGCAGCACAGGAGAGCUUGCUCUCUGGGUGGCGAGUGGCGGACGGGUGAGGAAUACAUCGGAAUCUACUCUGUUGUGGGGGAUAACGUAGGGAAACUUACGCUAAUACCGCAUACGACCUACGGGUGAAAGCAGGGGAUCUUCGGACCUUGCGCGAUUGAAUGAGCCGAUGUCGGAUUAGCUAGUUGGCGGGGUAAAGGCCCACCAAGGCGACGAUCCGUAGCUGGUCUGAGGGGAGGAUCAGGCAAACUGGAACUGAGACACGGUCCAGACUCCUACGGGAGGCAGCAGGGGGGAAUAUUGGACAAUGGGCGCAAGCCUGAUCCAGCCAUACCGCGUGGGUGAAGAAGGCCUUCGGGUUGUAAAGCCCUUUUGUUGGGAAAGAAAUCCAGCUGGCUAAUACCCGGUUGGGAUGACGGUACCCAAAGAAUAAGCACCGGCUAACUUCGUGCCAGCAGCCGCGGUAA
rnacentral:rRNA from 1 species